rnacentral:lncRNA from 1 species
UGAUGAGUGAAGUUUGAGAGAGACGCGGUUGAGAGGCCUGAGAGGGAGUUUGAGGACGAUGAACUUUUCUGGGUUUUGUUACAGUACCUUUCACCUUUUUUUUCUUUUAUUCAUUUUCUUUUUAUUUUUUAACAAAACCAACAUUUAAAACUAUAAAAGAUUCUACGUUUAGUCUUCCUGUGUUUUUAGUUAAUAGUGUAUAUUAGUAUAUUAUUUUGGUAUUCC